rnacentral:lncRNA from 1 species
CUACACCCCACAUCACUAUAAAACAGCUGCUUCUCCACUUGUAGACAUACGACUCCAGAUACCCAACACAACAGACAGGCAAAGAGCUAUAUCCCUCCAGAUGGCAUUGAUGAUCUCCUUGUCUCCAGAGAAGGACAUGUUGGCCCCCAGGAUAAUGUGUUCUGCAAGCUGAACAGGGGUUACACAGAUCCUUUAAAAGGCAUUCAAAGAGAUUCCAUCAGUCUACAGGUAGACUGGAACAUUUCCAAAUGGAUAAUGGGUAGCCGUGUUUCUGCACAAAGUCACCAGAAGUUCAGAAGCAACACAUGAAUUUACAUGCUCUUGUGAACUGCAAAGAAGCCGACACCACCAAUGCUCUCAAGGAACUACACUGGACUACUGCUGGGGACUUUAAUAUAGUCUGAGGGAAACACUACCAAAGUGUUUUCAAUACAUGGCCUGCGCUACUCACUCUUCAAAAGUUCUGGACCAUUGCUACUCCCCCCUUCCAGGAUGGAUAUCAGGCCCUCCACCGCCCUACCUUGGGCAAAUCUGAUCAUGCUUCCAUUCUGCUCCUCCCUUCCUAUAGGCGAACAUUAAACAGGAAGACCAUUCAACAUUGGUCUGACCAAUCCGAAUCUAUGCUUCAAGAUUAUUUUGGUCACGUGGACUGGGAUCUGUUCAGGGUUGCCUCAGAAUAAAAUUGACGUAUACACUGAUACGAUGACUGAGUUCAUCAGGAAGUGCAUAGGGGAUGUUGUUCCCACGGUGAUGAUUUGAACCUAUUCAAACCAAAAACCAUAGAUAGAUGGCAACAUUGACACAAAAUUGAAAGAGUGAACCACUGCAUUUAACAGUGGCAAGGUGACUGGGAACAUGGACGAGUACAAACAGUCCAGCUCUGCCCUCAGUAAGGCAAUCAUACAGGCAAAACUUCAGUACAGAGACAAAGUGGAGUCACAAUUAAAAGGUUCAGUCACAAGAUGUAUGUGUCAGGGACUCCAGGCUAUCAUGGAUAAUAAAUGGUAAACCAGCCACGUCGCUGAUGCUCCUGGACAAGUUAAACACCUUCUUUGCACAGUUCGAUGGCCGCGUGGCUACUUUUAAGAAUAUCAAAUAUAGCAUAUAUUUUUAUUUGUUUAACACUUUUGGUUACUGCAUGAUUCCAUAGCUUUGAUGUCUUCAUUAUUAUAAAAUGUAGAAAAUGGUAAAAAAAUUAAGAAAAACCCUUUAAUGAGUAGAUGUGUCCAACCUUGUGUCUGGUACUGUAUAUAUUUACAUUCCGGACUCUGCCAUUACUAGUUCUAGUAUUUCGUUGUUGCGUGUGUUGUUAGGUAUUACUGCACUGUUGGAGGUAAGAACAUAAGCAUUUUGGUACACCCACGAUAACAUUUGCUAAAUAUGUGUACAAAACCUAUUAAAAUGGAUUUGAUUUGGAAGUUAUAUUGUGUGACAUUAAUCUGAAAACACAACAGGAAUAAGGGGUAUUAGCGAUCUAUAGUCUUGUUCAAAGACUUUCUUCAUAUCUUUCUACUGCCCACUCCAAAUGGCUGACAUUUGAAAGCAAGUCAUCUAUUUAAAAAUACUUAGGAUUGUACACUUACUAAAUCAUGACAACAAAGUGGUCAAAACUAAAGCCAUACCUCACUUUCUCGGUCCCUUCCUGGUGAAAGGCACUCAAGGGUGGACGAGAACAGUGUAUAGGGGCCCACUCUACUCCACAAAAUGCCCCCAGCUUUCCCAGGAAACAAGAUGGUGUUACCGUUUAUUAAUUUAAAUGUGGAUAAAUGUCUUACCUUUAAUCAAAUCACAUAAUCUUCAUAAUUUGCCUUGAAGCCAGAUGCAUCCCUGAAAAAGCUUGGUGCACUAAUUGUGGAGGAAGGCAAUACAGGAGGGGAAACGGGAUCAGGAGAUAUGGAGAACAAGGGGGCACAGACGAUGGUGGCAGGCAGUGGUGGAGGUCUGGUGAUGGUGUGAGGUUGAAGCUGAACCUAAGGUAUGAUGAUGGUGGGAGGCGGAAGCUGAUGUCUUGUGAUGGUGGGAGGCUGAAGCUGAACCUGAGGUCUGGUGAUGGUGGAAGGCUGAAGCUGAACCUGAGGUCUGAUGAUGGUGGAGGCGGAAGCUGAGGUCUGGUGAUUGUGGGAGGUUAUGUUAUGGUGGGGAACUGAUUUGGGAGGUUGGUCAAAGGGGUCAAGAUGGGUGAAGGUAGGAUAAAGUAUGAAGGACAACAAAAGAACAAUGAGGGGGAGCGAAAAACAUUGUGGGUGAAGGAGAGACCUGCAGAAAGAGCCAGCAGAAGAGCCAGCAGAGUGACCAGGAGAAGAGGCAGCAGAGUGACCAGCAGAAGAGGCAGCAUAGGGAGUGUUUGUGUGGGAUUCUUUCCUUCUCCUCUUUGAACAUAACCAGGUGGACAGUGUUGAUCAUUGGAGUCAACAUAUCUUCCUUAGAAAUCAGGUCUGAAAUUCUUCCACUCAAUUUUUGCGAUACUAUACGGCCCCAACUGGUCACGGUCGAACUUGCCACUCUUCCUCUGCUGGCUCCUGAUGUUCCUUCUCCAAUGGCAAAGGUCACUUGAUUUCCUUGAGCCAACUUUCUUUCCUUCUACUGCUCCUUCUCCACAUUCUGUAGUACUAUUAUGUAAAUGUCCUCCUGCCCUUUCAGACCCCUCUGCCAGAAUCACAUUUGCCAGGAUAUCCACACUUGCGUCUACCUAUACUGUACCAAAAAUAAAUGUGAAUAUAUUAACUGUGUGUAGGGCUACAUCAAGGAUGCAUAAUUAUAUUAGGGAAUGAAUUCCAGACUUACUUUAUAAUGUACUGGCAUUGAAGGAUAUUGAGCCUACACAAAAAAGUAUGGGG